rnacentral:rRNA from 1 species
AUGAGGGGCUUCAACGAAACCUGGUGUGGGUGGGUAAAUCAAAUCCUAUACAAUGGUACUGUUAGUAUCAAGCUUAACAACUCAGUGGGCCCAUAUUUUCAAAGUGCCAAAGGGGUGCGCCAAGGAGACCCCCACUCCCCCUUUUUGUUCAACCUAGCUGUAGAAUGUCUCAACAAGAUGAUUUGUAAAGCGCAGCAGAAUGGCCUCCUAACUGGACUAGCAUCUGAUCUUGUCCCGAAUGGGGUGGCAGUUCUACAAUACGCAGAUGACACGAUCAUUUGCCUCGAGCAUGAUGUGGAAAAAGCUUUAAAUCUGAAGCUCCUCUUAUACAUGUUCGAGCUCAUGUCUGGACUGAAAGUAAACUUUCAGAAGAGCGAGAUCAUGACUGUCGGAGGGGACACUGACAUUGAUAGCAAGUAUGCCAAGAUCUUUAACUGCGAGAUCGGGCACUUUCCAAUUAAAUAUCUUGGUAUGCCUGUGAGUUUCACAACUCUUAAAGAUUCUGUGUGGGAAUUUAUUGUAGAUAAAUACCUUAAGUGUUUCGGGUCUUGGAUUGGUAAUGCUGCAUCCAGCGGGGGCAGACUUACCUUGCUUACCUCGGUAUUGUCGCAGCUAUCUUUAUAUCAUAUGUCCAUGUGGCUUAUGAGUAAAACUUUCAUAGAAAGGCUGGACAAGCACCGUCGUAAUUUUUUUGGCACGGGUGCAAUAAGAAGAAUAGAUAUUACCUGGUCAAAUGGAAGAGGGUGUGUAGAUCGAAGGGCAAAGGGGGUCUGGGUGUCAAAGACCUCAGGAAACAAAACAUCAGCCUGA